AUUAGUAGACGAUUAAGUAAUCUAGUAGUGAGGAGGAGGUGGGGAUUUGUAAAGGUAGGGUUGGUGUGGAGGUGAGUAGUGGUGUACCGGAGGAGGAGGAGAAUGGUACACCGGAGGGGGAGGAGAAUGGUAAACCGGAGGGGGAGAGUAAUGGACCGGAGGAGGAGGAGAUUUGUAUUCAUAGUGCUUCUUGGGUGGUGGUGGGGAGUGGUAUACUACGGGAGGAGGAGAGUAGUGAACCGGUGGUGGUGGGGAGUGGUAUACUACUGGAGGAGGAGAGUAGUGAACCGGUGGUGGUGGUGAAUGGUAUACUACGGGAGGAGGAGAGUAGUGAACCGGUGGUGGUGGAGACUUGUAAACUGGAGGAGGGGAGUAAUGCUUAACCGGUGGUGGGGGAGACUUGUAAACUGGAGGAGGGGAGUAGUGCUUCACCGGUGGUGGUGGAGACUUGUAAACCGGAGGAGGAGAGUAGUACUUAACCGGUGGUGGGGCAGACUUGUAAACGGGAGGAGGGGAGUAGUGCUUAACCGGUGGUGGGGGAGACUUGUAAACCGGAGGAGGGGAGUAGUGCUUAACCGGUGGUGGGGGAGACUUGUAAACGGGAGGAGGCGAGUAGUACUUAACCGGUGGUGGGGGAGACUUGUAAACCGGAGGAGGCGAGUAAUGCUUAACCGGUGGGGGUGGAGACUUGUAAACCGGAGGAGGGGAGUAGUGCUUAACCGGUGGUGGUGGAGACUUGUAAACGGGAGGAGGCGAGUAGUACUUAACCGGUGGUGGUGGAGACUUGUAAACGGGAGGAGGCGAGUAAUGCUUAACCGGUGGGGGUGGAGACUUGUAAACGGGAGGAGGGGAGUAGUGCUUAACCGGUGGUGGUGGAGACUUGUAAACGGGAGGAGGCGAGUAGUGCUUAACCGGUGGUGGUGGAGACUUGUAAACGGGAGGAGGCGAGUAGUGUUUAACCGGUGGUGGUGGAGACUUGUAAACCGGAGGAGGCGAGUAAUGCUUAACCGGUGGAGGAGGGGAAGAGUAGAAGUAAUUUGCAGUGGUUUGAGAGACAAAAGCAAGGGAGAAUGCUAAGACAAGGAAAGAGGCCAUUGGUGACCCCAUUUUGUUAUGU
rnacentral:lncRNA from 1 species